AGAGUUUGAUCCUGGCUCAGGAUGAACGUUGGCGGCGUGCCUAAUACAUGCAAGUCGAACGCGAAGCUUGUUUUCGAACGAGCGGAGAGUGGCGCACGGGUGAGUAACACAUGGCUGACCUGCCCCGCAGGGGGGGACAACCACUAGAAAUGGUGGCUAAUACCCCAUAUGCUCACGGUAAUUAGAACGCUGUGAGGAAAGUUCAGGCGCUGCGGGAGGGGGCUGUGGCCCAUCAGCUAGUUGGUGCGGUAACGGCGCACCAAGGCGAGGACGGGUAGGGGGCCUGAGAGGGUGACCCCCCACACGGGUACUGAGACACGGACCCGACUCCUACGGGAGGCAGCAGUAAGGGAUAUUGCGACAAUGGGCGCAAGCCUGAUCCAGCAAUGCCGCGUGUGUGAAGAAGGCCUUCGGGUUGUAAAGCACUUUCACUCGCGAAGAUGAUGACGGUAGCGAGAGAAGAAGCCCCGGCUAACUCCGUGCCAGCAGCCGCGGUAAUACGGAGGGGGCUAGCGUUGUUCGGAAUUACUGGGCGUAAAGGGCGCGUAGGCGGCUUUAUAAGUCAGAUGUGAAAGCCCACGGCUUAACUGUGGAAGUGCAUUUGAAGCUGUGAAGCUUGAGUAUCGGAGGGGAGUGUGGAAUUCCCGGUGUAGAGGUGAAAUUCGUAGAGAUCGGGAGGAACACCGGUGGCGAAGGCGACACUCUGGACGAAUACUGACGCUGAGGCGCGAAAGCGUGGGGAGCAAACAGGAUUAGAUACCCUGGUAGUCCACGCCGUAAACGAUGUGAACUAGAGGUAGGUGGUGUUGAUCCCAUCUGUCUCGCAGCUAACGCAUUAAGUUCACCGCCUGGGGAGUACGGUCGCAAGAUUAAAACUUAAAGGAAUUGACGG
rnacentral:rRNA from 1 species